UGUAGGGCAAGAGAAGAAGACCCAGCCGAUCAGCUAGAACGCUGAUCAGCUGAGACACGAGGCAGCGAAUAGAUAGGGGAAGAGCCAGCCAGAGGUGGUAUGUGCCAGUUCUCCAAACUAGUCAAAAUUUCUGCUACUGGUCAGAACUGGCUGAAUACCACCUCUGGUCUUGGGUCCUGAAUAUAUGUCCUAAACUCCAAAUCCUUCGUGCUCCAUUGAGCACACAGUGCAUGGUGAAAGUGGAUAGAUUUAAGUUCCUCUUGUACACAUGUAUAUUUAUAGGAAAAGUGAAUAGCAUUGGCAAAGACUGAUUUUAUUACACAAAAACUAUAGGUAUAGAAACAUGGUAACCAUUAGCAGAAGCUUGACAAUUGAUUUGAACAUAAUGUAUUUGCUGACAUGUAUCCUUUUAUAUUUCAGAAACAUUGUCUGAUGCAUUGAGCAACUCUUUUAUCAUGCAUUUUCAUAUUGCAGGCAUUUUUGCCAUCCUCUUUAUCUUGAUUGCUGUUUUCUGUUAAUUGUUCACUGAAGAUUUGGCAGCCAAACUUCACAUGCCAAACCUGUUUUCCCCCUCCACUGCCCUCUGGCUUCAGUAGUGCCAUUUUCAGUUACUGUGUGCCAUGAUGAAAUGGUGCAGGUUGUGGCAGAGCUACCUGCAUAAUGAAUGCAUAAACCUUUCCCAUCGGGCAACCUGCAAGUCUCUUGAAACUGCAGGAAAGUUGGAUGGAAAUAAUAGGAGCUGCAGUUUCAUCUGAAGGAUGCCUGGAAGACUGAUAUUGUAACUGUAUGUGGAAAUGACUUUGGAAGACAGAGAUUCUGCCUGAGAACCGUCAGACACACUACCGGAAUGUGAUGGGCUACCAUUAAUCCUGUGUCUAGUCUUCAGUAGACUUGCUACAAGGCAAGCUAUAUUGAGUAUUUUUUCCUAAAACUGAGAAACUACUUUGUUGAACAAGAUUUCAAAGGGAUCAUCCUCAAGACUCAUUACGGUACACAGGAGAUGCAGACCAAAUGAUCCAUCUCAAAAAACAUUCAUCACCAUCAUCAUGGCAAAUUAAAGUUAGAAUCCUUGGUAGUCUCAUUGUCCUUAAGUCUUAUUGAAAUCAAUGUCAAAUGUUCUUCAUUUCAUGGACCCUAACUGCAAAUUUGCUCAGAAACUGGCUUAUUGUCAAAAUACACUCUAAGAUUCUUUUGUAUUGGUGAAUAGCUUGCUUUUUUUUGCUUGCUUGGAACAAUCUUAUACAAAUCUACAUCAUAUCAGAUUUCAAGAUGGAGAUAAUGUCUCUUCAUAGAUGAGCACAGAUAAUUCAUAAACCAUGAUAGAGAAAGGGUCAGGUAGCACCAACUUCUUCUAUAUCAAUAUUCUAUUUGAAGCACUGUAACACCUAACAAGAUCUGAAUAAGAUUUUUCCCAAGUAUUGAACUUUUCUAUGUUCUUUUGCCUUGGGAUUUCCCUUUGAUACUAAAUAGAUUUUCAAGGGUCUUAGGUUGAGGAGCAUGUGGUAGCUGACUAUGACUAAGAGAAAGAGAGAGCAAGUGAGCUGAAACAAAGCUGUCUAUGAAGCUUUUAAAAAAAUGUUCUGAAUCCACUGCAUUAAAUGCUACUUAAUGGACGGACACGGUGACUAAGUGGCUAAGAUGCUGAGCUUGUCAAUCAGAAAGGUUGACAGUUCGAAUCCCUAGCACCGUGAGCUCC